rnacentral:lncRNA from 10 species
GGGUUUUGCCAUGUUGCCCAGACUGGUCUUGAACUCCUGGGCUCAAGUGAUCCGCCUGCCUUGGCCUCCCAAAGUGCUGAGAUUAUGGCUUGAGCCAUUGUGCCUUGCCACUUGUAGUUUCUUCUUUUCUUUCUCCUUCAUUUUUUAUUAUUUUUGAAGUAUUUUGAAGUAUUGAGUAACAUACAUAUAGAAAAGUAUAUAAAAACAUAUGAAUAGUUUAAAGAAAAAUUGUAAAGAAAACACUGUGUAACUACUGCCCGGGUUGGGAAAUAGAACCUUGCCAGGCCCCCAAGCGCCCAGCACUUUAGAGCAUAACUCCCUCCCCACGACUUUUGCAAUGAUGAUCUUGCUUUUCUUUAUAGCUUCACCAUGUAGGUAUGCGGUCCAAAACAAUGUGGGGCUUUUUGUUGUCUGUUUUGAACUUUCUAUGAAUGGAAUGUUGUUUGUGUUAUUUUAUGUCUUGCUUUUUUCAUUCCACAUGGUUCUGAGAGUCUUUUCAUUCUGUCAUGUGGAGCAAUUGUUUUUUCAUUUUCAUUGCCAUAUAAUAUUUUAUUGUACGUCUACCCCAAUUCAUUUAUUUAUUUAUUUUUUUGAGAUGGAGUCUGUCUCUGUCAUCCAGGCUGG